CCCUUGAUGGUCCAGCUAAGACUCCACACUCCCAAUGCAGAGAGUCCAGGUUCAAUCCCUGGUCAAGGAA
rfam:Ovis aries breed Texel chromosome 11, whole genome shotgun sequence.